CAUUUGCAAGUGAGCAAGGGGAGCUUGGAGAAGUGGACCAGAAAGUGGCUUUGACAGUGUUUACUACCAACCUGGCUCUGGGGACAUCUGUGUCUGAGACUCCCUGUGGUCUUCUUUUGCCUCUGUCUGGAAACCUGAGCUGCUUUGACACGCGUCUGCCUG
rnacentral:lncRNA from 1 species